UACGAAGGACCCGAGCGUUAUCCGGAUUUAUUGGGUUUAAAGGGUGCGUAGGCGGGUUAUUAAGUCAGUGGUGAAAGCCUACAGCUUAACUGUAGAACUGCCAUUGAUACUGAUAAUCUUGAGUACAUUUGAGGCGGGCGGAAUGUGUCAUGUAGAGGUGAAAUUCUUAGAUAUGACACAGAACACCAAUUGCGAAGGCAGCUCGCUAAACUGUAACUGACGCUGAGGCACGAAAGCGUGGGGAUCAAACAGG
rnacentral:rRNA from 1 species